AAAUUUAAGCACUGUGAGUGCUGCAAAUCUGUAAUUAAAGCAGAAAAUGUGGGAAACUUUAAUAGAUCAGACUAUGUUGUGGAAAGAGAAGAAACUAACAUUUCAGAUUAUUGUAGAAACAAGCACUGCAGAUGCUGGUUUACAAAAAAAAAGACACAACGUGCAAGAGGGAACAUCUCUGGAAAACAUGGGUAUCCACAUGUAUCCAGCGAUGAUGAUUGGCCCACUGAGAU